AGUGAACGCUGGCGGUAGGCCUAACACAUGCAAGUCGAACGGCAGCACAGUAAUAGCUUGCUCUUACGGGUGGCGAGUGGCGGACGGGUGAGGAUUACAUCGGAAUCUCCUUUUUCGUGGUUGAUAACGUUGGGAAACUUACGCUAAUACCGCUUCCGACCUACGGUUGAAAGCAGGGGAUCUUCGGACCUUGCGCGAUUGAAUGAGCCUAUGUCGGAGUAGCUAGUUGGCGGGGUAAAGGCCCACCAAGGCGACGAUCCGUAGCUGGUCUGAGAGGAUGAUCAGCCACACUGGAACUGAGACACGGUCCAGACUCCUACGGGAGGCAGCAGUGGGGAAUAUUGGACAAUGGGCGCAAGCCUGAUCCAGCCAUACCGCGUGGGUGAAGAAGGCCUUCGGGUUGUAAAGACCUUUUGUUGGGAAAGAAAAGCAGCAGGUUAAUACCACGCUGUUCUGACGGUACCCAAAGAAUAAGCACCGGCUAACUUCGUG
rnacentral:rRNA from 1 species